ACAACGGUGGAGCUUGCGGUUUAAUUGGAUUCAACGCCGGAAAUCUUACCGGGACCGACAGCAAUAUGAAGGCCAGGCUGAAGACUUUGCCGGAUUAGCUGAGAGGUGGUGCAUGGCCGUCGUCAGUUCGUACUGUGAAGCAUCCUGUUAAGUCAGGCAACGAGCGAGACCCUCGCCCACAGUUGCCAGUGUACUCUCCGGAGUGACGGGUACACUGUGGGACCGCCGCUGCUAAAGCGGAGGAAGGAAUGGGCAACGGUAGGUCAGUAUGCCCCGAAUAUCCCGGGCUACACGCGAGCUACAAUGGUUGGUACAAUGGGUAUCUACCCCGAAAGGGGACGGGAAUCUCCUAAAACCAAUCUUAGUUCGGAUUGAGGGCUGCAACUCGCCCUCAUGAAGCUGGAAUCCGUAGUAAUCGCGUUUCAACAGAACGCGGUGAAUACGUCCCUGCUCCUU
rnacentral:rRNA from 1 species